GAUGAACGCUGGCGGCGUGCUUAACACAUGCAAGUCGAACGAAGCACCUUAUUUGAUUUCCUUCGGGACUGAUUAUUUUGUGACUGAGUGGCGGACGGGUGAGUAACGCGUGGGUAACCUGCCUUGUACAGGGGGAUAACAGAUGGAAACGGCUGCUAAUACCGCAUAAGCGCACAGCAUCGCAUGAUGCAGUGUGAAAAACUACGGUGGUAUAAGAUGGACCCGCGUUGGAUUAGCUAGUUGGUGAGGUAACGGCCCACCAAGGCGACGAUCCAUAGCCGAGCAGAGAGGGUGACCGGCAACAUUGGGAGUGAGACACGGCCGGAACUCCUACGGGAGGCAGCAGUGGUGAAUAUUGCAAAAUGGGCGAAGGCCUGAUGCAGCGACGCCGCGUGAGCGAUGUAGUAUUUCGGGAUGUAAAGCGCUAUCAGCAGUGCAGAUAAUGACGGUACCUGACCAAGAAGCACCGGCUAACUACGUG
rnacentral:rRNA from 1 species